GACUAAUUCCAGCUCAGUUGGUAGAGCAAGAGACUCUUAAGCUCAGAGUCAGGGGUUUGAGCCCCUCGUUGGGCA